rnacentral:rRNA from 1 species
GCUCAGGAUGAACGCUGGCGGCGUGCUUAACACAUGCAAGUCGAACGAUGAAGCCCAGCUUGCUGGGUGGAUUAGUGGCGAACGGGUGAGUAACACGUGAGUAACCUGCCCUUGACUCUGGGAUAAGCCUGGGAAACUGGGUCUAAUACCGGAUAGGAACGUCCACCGCAUGGUGGUUGUUGGAAAGAUUUAUCGGUCAUGGAUGGACUCGCGGCCUAUCAGCUUGUUGGUGAGGUAAUGGCUCACCAAGGCGACGACGGGUAGCCGGCCUGAGAGGGUGACCGGCCACACUGGGACUGAGACACGGCCCAGACUCCUACGGGAGGCAGCAGUGGGGAAUAUUGCACAAUGGGCGAAAGCCUGAUGCAGCGACGCCGCGUGAGGGAUGACGGCCUUCGGGUUGUAAACCUCUUUCAGUAGGGAAGAAGCGAAAGUGACGGUACCUGCAGAAGAAGCACCGGCUAACUACGUGCCAGCAGCCGCGGUAAUACGUAGGGUGCGAGCGUUAUCCGGAAUUAUUGGGCGUAAAGAGCUCGUAGGCGGUUUGUCGCGUCUGUCGUGAAAGUCCGGGGCUUAACCCCGGAUCUGCGGUGGGUACGGGCAGACUAGAGUGCAGUAGGGGAGACUGGAAUUCCUGGUGUAGCGGUGGAAUGCGCAGAUAUCAGGAGGAACACCGAUGGCGAAGGCAGGUCUCUGGGCUGUAACUGACGCUGAGGAGCGAAAGCAUGGGGAGCGAACAGGAUUAGAUACCCUGGUAGUCCAUGCCGUAAACGUUGGGCACUAGGUGUGGGGACCAUUCCACGGUUUCCGCGCCGCAGCUAACGCAUUAAGUGCCCCGCCUGGGGAGUACGGCCGCAAGGCUAAAACUCAAAGGAAUUGACGGGGGCCCGCACAAGCGGCGGAGCAUGCGGAUUAAUUCGAUGCAACGCGAAGAACCUUACCAAGGCUUGACAUGUUCUCGAUCGCCGUAGAGAUACGGUUUCCCCUUUGGGGCGGGAUCACAGGUGGUGCAUGGUUGUCGUCAGCUCGUGUCGUGAGAUGUUGGGUUAAGUCCCGCAACGAGCGCAACCCUCGUUCCAUGUUGCCAGCACGUAGUGGUGGGGACUCAUGGGAGACUGCCGGGGUCAACUCGGAGGAAGGUGGGGACGACGUCAAAUCAUCAUGCCCCUUAUGUCUUGGGCUUCACGCAUGCUACAAUGGCCGGUACAAUGGGUUGCGAUACU